rnacentral:rRNA from 1 species
AGUCGAGCGGAUGACGGGAGCUUGCUCCCUGAUUCAGCGGCGGACGGGUGAGUAAUGCCUAGGAAUCUGCCUGGUAGUGGGGGACAACGUCUCGAAAGGGACGCUAAUACCGCAUACGUCCUACGGGAGAAAGCAGGGGACCUUCGGGCCUUGCGCUAUCAGAUGAGCCUAGGUCGGAUUAGCUAGUUGGUGAGGUAAUGGCUCACCAAGGCGACGAUCCGUAACUGGUCUGAGAGGACGAUCAGUCACACUGGAACUGAGACACGGUCCAGACUCCUACGGGAGGCAGCAGUGGGGAAUAUUGGACAAUGGGCGAAAGCCUGAUCCAGCCAUGCCGCGUGUGUGAAGAAGGUCUUCGGAUUGUAAAGCACUUUAAGUUGGGAGGAAGGGCAUUAACCUAAUACGUUAGUGUUUUGACGUUACCGACAGAAUAAGCACCGGCUAACUCUGUGCCAGCAGCCGCGGUAAUACAGAGGGUGCAAGCGUUAAUCGGAAUUACUGGGCGUAAAGCGCGCGUAGGUGGUUUGUUAAGUUGGAUGUGAAAGCCCCGGGCUCAACCUGGGAACUGCAUUCAAAACUGACAAGCUAGAGUAUGGUAGAGGGUG